AAACUGGAUCAUCAGGUUGUCUUCGGAGUUUAUAACCAACAUGGGUAAACUCUUGGUUGUGAUGGCCGUUGUCUGUCUGGUCGCCAUGGUAACCGCUGGCUAUGAUAAAAACGAAAAAUGCAACAUUUCUCAAAGAUGUUGCCAUGACUACGAAUGUGGAAACGGGAAAUAUUGUAAAAUUCGCCCAGGACAGCAACUCAUGAACCAAAGACUUGGCUACUGCUGUUCUAACGGACUUGGAAGCAAUUACGGAAAUGGAGGAG